rnacentral:rRNA from 1 species
GCUCAGGACGAACGCUGGCGGCGCGCCUAACACAUGCAAGUCGAACGAGAGAGAGGGAGCUUGCUUCCUCAAUCGAGUGGCGAACGGGUGAGUAACGCGUGAGGAACCUGCCUCAAAGAGGGGGACAACAGUUGGAAACGACUGCUAAUACCGCAUAAGCCCACGACCCGGCAUCGGGUAGAGGGAAAAGGAGCAAUCCGCUUUGAGAUGGCCUCGCGUCCGAUUAGCUAGUUGGUGAGGUAACGGCCCACCAAGGCGACGAUCGGUAGCCGGACUGAGAGGUUGAACGGCCACAUUGGGACUGAGACACGGCCCAGACUCCUACGGGAGGCAGCAGUA